rnacentral:rRNA from 1 species
AUUGAACGCUGGCGGCAGGCUUAACACAUGCAAGUCGAGCGGGGUGAUGGUGCUUGCACUAUCACUUAGCGGCGGACGGGUGAGUAAUGCUUAGGAAUCUGCCUAUUAGUGGGGGACAACAUCUCGAAAGGGAUGCUAAUACCGCAUACGUCCUACGGGAGAAAGCAGGGGAUCACUUGUGACCUUGCGCUAAUAGAUGAGCCUAGGUCGGAUUAGCUAGUUGGUGGGGUAAAGGCCUACCAAGGCGACGAUCUGUAGCGGGUCUGAGAGGAUGGACCGCCACACUGGGACUGAGACACGGGCCAGACUCCUACGGGAGGGAGCAGUGGGGAAUAUUGGACAAAGGGGGGAACCCUGAUCCAGCCAUGCCGCGUGUGUGAAGAAGGCCUUAUGGUUGUAAAGCACUUUAAGCGAGGAGGAGGCUCUUUUGGUUAAUACCCAAGAUGAGUGGACGUUACUCGCAGAAUAAGCACCGGCUAACUCUGUGCCAGCAGCCGCAGUAA